AGAGUUUGAUCAUGGCUCAGGAUGAACGCUAGCUACAGGCUUAACACAUGCAAGUCGAGGGGAAACGACAUCGAAAGCUUGCUUUUGAUGGUCGUCGACCGGCGCACGGGUGAGUAACGCGUAUCCAACCUGCCCCAUCACUUGGGGAUAACCUUGCGAAAGUAAGACUAAUACCCCAAUGAUAUCUCUAGAAGACAUCUGAAAGAGAUUAAAGAUUUAUCGGUGAUGGAUGGGGAUGCGUCUGAUUAGCUUGUUGGCGGGGUAACGGCCCACCAAGGCAACGAUCAGUAGGGGUUCUGAGAGGAACGGUCCCCCACAUUGGAACUGAGACACGGUACCAAACUCCGUACGGGAGGCAGCA
rnacentral:rRNA from 1 species